UCUUAUUUAGUAAUUUGUCGAAUGUUAUUACCAAUAUGUUUUAAAUCAUUUCUAGUAAAAUUUCUCCUUUUAGCAUAACUCAUUGCACUUGUCCACAAAGAACUAGAUUCUCCUAGAAACUCAAGAUUUAUACUUAAACAUCUACUAGGAUCUGCUUCUAUGUAAUAUGUUGAUGCUUCAUUGCUUGAGAUUGUAUGUACUUUAAAAGUACCUCCAACAAACAACUUCAUUCCUCCUUUACC
rnacentral:lncRNA from 1 species